UACGGGGGGAGCAAGCGUUGUUCGGAAUCACUGGGCUUAAAGGGCGCGUAGGCGGGCUGUCAAGUCUGGGGUGAAAUCCCACGGCUCAACCGUGGAACUGCCUUAGAUACUGACGGCCUCGAGGGAGAUAGGGGCGAGCGGAACUGUGAGUGGAGCGGUGAAAUGCGUUGAUAUUCACAGGAACUCCGGUGGCGAAGGCGGCUCGCUGGAUCUUUUCUGACGCUGAGGCGCGAAAGCUAGGGGAGCAAACGGG
rnacentral:rRNA from 1 species